UGAGGAAUAUUGCGCAAUGGGCGAAAGCCUGACGCAGCGACGCCGCGUGGAGGAUGAAGGCCUUCGGGUCGUAAACUCCUGUCGAGGGGGACGAAAUGGGCCCUUGCGAAUACCAAGGACUCUUGACUGUACCCCUGGAGGAAGCCCCGGCUAACUCCGUGCCAGCAGCCGCGGUAAUACGGAGGGGGCCAGCGUUGCUCGGAAUCACUGGGCGUAAAGGGCUCGUAGGCGGUCUGAUAAGUCCUGUGUGAAAUCCCUUGGCUUAACCAAGGAAUUGCGCCGGAUACUGUCGGACUAGAGGCCGGGAGAGGGAAGCGGAAUUCCCAGUGUAGCGGUGAAAUGCGUAGAUAUUGGGAGGAACAUCGGUGGCGAAGGCGGCUUCCUGGACCGGUUCUGACGCUGAGGAGCGAAAGCUAGGGUAGCAAACAGG
rnacentral:rRNA from 1 species